rnacentral:misc_RNA from 1 species
CCUCCCCGCCUAGAUCUGCAACUUCUUUAAGAGCUGCCCUCCAUCUUUCCACCUUGUCUAUCUCCUCCUUUAGUUGCUCUUCAUGUCUAUCAAAUGCUUCCUUGAAGCUUUCUUUCUGCCGCCAGACUGCACUUGGAUCGACAUGGUAAAAAAUUGGCAAAAUAUGCAUACCAUCAGAUUUUCUACGCUCAUUGAUCAUCAAAAGCUCAUCAAGGCAACAUCUUGAAGAGGCAUAGUCUGGAGAAAACACUAUUACUGCUACUUUUGAUUGUUGUAUUGCUUUCGUGAGUUCUUGGUCAAUGUUUUUCCCCCUCUCAAUUUCUUCAUCGUCCCUGAAGGUGUGAAUCCCCGCUCCAGUCAAAGCUGCAUAGACAUGAUCUGCAAAAGUCUUGCGAACGUCAUCGCCUCUAAAGCUCAAGAACGCAUCAAAAGGACAAG